GGUCCUGUAGUUCAACGGUUAGAACGCAUGCCUUAUAAGCGUGUCACGAAGUUUCGACUACUUCCAGGACCA
rnacentral:tRNA from 1 species